CGUAGGUGGCAAGCGUUGUCCGGAUUUACUGGGCGUAAAGAGCGCGCAGGCGGUCAGAUAAGUCGAAUGUGAAAGCCCCCGGCUCAACUGGGGAGGGUCAUUCGAUACUGUUCGACUCGAAGGCAGGAGAGGGAAGUGGAAUUCCCGGUGUAGUGGUGAAAUGCGUAGAUAUCGGGAGGAACACCAGUGGCGAAGGCGACUUCCUGGCCUGUUCUUGACGCUGAGGCGCGAAAGCUAGGGGAGCAAACGGGAUUAGAUACCCCGGUAGUCCUAGCUGUAAACGAUGGACACUAGGUGUUGGUGGUAUCAACCCCGCAGUGCCGUAGCUAACGCAUUAAGUGUCCCGCCUGGGGAGUACGGCCGCAAGGCUA
rnacentral:rRNA from 1 species